rnacentral:rRNA from 1 species
AUACGUAGGGGGCAAGCGUUAUCCGGAUUUACUGGGUGUAAAGGGAGCGUAGACGGCGAAGCAAGUCUGAAGUGAAAGGACGGGGCCCAACCCCGGAACUGCUUUGGAAACUGUUUGGCUGGAGUGCGGGAGGGGUAAGCGGAAUUCCUAGUGUAGCGGUGAAAUGCGUAGAUAUUAGGAGGAACACCGGUGGCGAAGGCGGCUUACUGGACCGUAACUGACGUUGAGGCUCGAAGGCGUGGGGAGCAAACAGGAUUAGAUACCCUGGUAGUCCACGCGGUAAACGAUGAUCACUAGGUGUCCGUGGGUAUGACCCAUGGGUGCCGCAGCCAACGCAAUAAGUGAUCCACCUGGGGAGUACGUUUGCAAGAAUGAAACUCAAAGGAAUUGACGGGG